rnacentral:rRNA from 1 species
AUUGAACGCUGGCGGCAUGCUUUACACAUGCAAGUCGAGCGGCAGCGCGGGGGGCAACCCUGGCGGCGAGCGGCGAACGGGUGAGUAAUGCAUCGGAACGUACCCUGGAGUGGGGGAUAACGCCGCGAAAGCGGCGCUAAUACCGCAUAUGCUCUGAGGAGGAAAGUGGGGGGACCCGCAAGGGCCUCAUGCUCUGGGAGCGGCCGAUGUCCGAUUAGCUAGUUGGUGAGGUAAAGGCUUACCAAGGCGACGAUCGGUAGCUGGUCUGAGAGGAUGAUCAGCCACACUGGGACUGAGACACGGCCCAGACUCCUACGGGAGGCAGCAGUGGGGAAUUUUGGGACAAUGGGGGCAACCCUGAUCCAGCCAUGCCGCGUGAGUGAAGAAGGCC